rnacentral:rRNA from 1 species
UACGGAGGGUGCAAGCGUUAUCCGGAUUUAUUGGGUUUAAAGGGUCCGUAGGCGGAUCUGUAAGUCAGUGGUGAAAUCUCACAGCUUAACUGUGAGGGUGCCAUUGAUACUGUAGGGCUUGAGUGAAUUUGAGGUAGGCGGAAUUGACGGUGUAGCGGUGAAAUGCUUAGAUAUCGUCAAGAACACCGAUAGUGAAGACAGCUUACCAAGCUUCAACUGACGCUGAGGCACGAAAGUGUGGGGAUCAAACAGG